rnacentral:rRNA from 1 species
UACGGAGGGUGCAAGCGUUAAUCGGAAUUACUGGGCGUAAAGCGCACGCAGGUGGCUGAGUCAGUCGAUUGUGAAAGCCCUGGGCUCAACCUGGGAAUUGCAGUCGAUACUACUCAGCUAGAGUAUGGGAGAGGGCAGUGGAAUUCCCGGUGUAGCGGUGAAGUGCGUAGAUAUCGGGAGGAACAUCAGUGGCGAAGGCGGCUGCCUGGCCCAAUACUGACACUCAGGUGCGACAGCGUGGGGAGCAAACAGG